UCUUCUCUCUAUUGCUCUUGUUCUUGCAUUAUUGUUCUUGUCUUUUAUAUUAUUUCAUAACACGUUAUCAGCACGAGUCUCUACUAUCUCAAGAAUCUCUUUGAGAAAAUUAAGUCGGCGGUAAUGAAAGUUAGGGCAAGGGGCGAGAAACCAAUUACCGAUUAACGCUUCCGCUUAAAAGAUAAUGGCUCACGACUCAGGUAUGUUUUCUAUACGAUUACAUGUAAGAUUAUCAUGUUCAAGAUCCUGGUAGAAUUAAAAUUUAUGCUUACAUGUGGUAUCAUGAGCCUGGAUAUAUGAACUGAUAUUCUUCGUUGAUGAAAGACUAUAUUAUGAUGUGUGUAUAAGUAUGUUAACGGGAUUUUGAAUUGCUUUCAAAGUUAUGACUGAAAUCUGUA
rnacentral:lncRNA from 1 species